CAUGCAGUCGAGGGGCAGCAUCAUCAAAGCUUGCUUUGAUGGAUGGCGACCGGCGCACGGGUGAGUAACACGUAUCCAACCUGCCGACAACACUGGGAUAGCCUUUCGAAAGAAAGAUUAAUACCGGAUGGCAUAGUUUUCCCGCAUGGGAUAAUUAUUAAAGAAUUUCGGUUGUCGAUGGGGAUGCGUUCCAUUAGGCAGUUGGCGGGGUAACGGCCCACCAAACCUACGAUGGAUAGGGGUUCUGAGAGGAAGGUCCCCCACAUUGGAACUGAGACACGGUCCAAACUCCCACGGGAGGCAGCAGUGAGGAAUAUUGGUCAAUGGACGAGAGUCUGAACCAGCCAAGUAGCGUGAAGGAUGACUGCCCUAUGGGUUGUAAACUUCUUUUAUACGGGAAUAAAGUGAGCCACGUGUGGCUUUUUGUAUGUACCGUAUGAAUAAGGAUCGGCUAACUCCGUGCCAGCAGCCGCGGUAAUACGGAGGAUUCGAGCGUUAUCCGGAUUUAUUGGGUUUAAAGGGAGCGUAGGCGGGUUGUUAAGUCAGUUGUGAAAGUUUGCGGCUCA
rnacentral:rRNA from 1 species